rnacentral:miRNA from 1 species
CGAGGCUUUUUUUCAGCGAUGA